rnacentral:rRNA from 1 species
UACGGAGGGUGCAAGCGUUAUCCGGAUUCACUGGGUUUAAAGGGUGCGUAGGUGGGCAGGUAAGUCAGUGGUGAAAUCUCCGGGCUUAACCCGGAAACUGCCAUUGAUACUAUCUGUCUUGAAUAUCGUGGAGGUGAGCGGAAUAUGUCAUGUAGCGGUGAAAUGCUUAGAUAUGACAUAGAACACCAAUUGCGAAGGCAGCUUACUACCCGAAUAUUGACACUGAGGCACGAAAGCGUGGGGAUCAAACAGG